UACGUAGGGGGCAAGCGUUGUCCGGAUUUAUUGGGCGUAAAGAGCUUGUAGGCGGUUUGUCGCGUCUGCUGUGAAAAUCCGGGGCUCAACCCCGGACUUGCAGUGGGUACGGGCAGGCUAGAGUGUGGUAGGGGAGACUGGAAUUCCUGGUGUAGCGGUGGAAUGCGCAGAUAUCAGGAGGAACACCGGUGGCGAAGGCGGGUCUCUGGGCAGUAACUGACGCUGAGGAGCGAAAGCGUGGGGAGCGAACAGG
rnacentral:rRNA from 1 species